UAAAUUUGAAAAGUUUUCUAAAUAUUGGGGGUGUUCCAAAUGCCAUUAAAUUACAAGUCUCUUUGGGUGCAAAGUACCUAACUUUUUCCCCUUUCUCCUCUUCCUGUUUCCAUCUGCCGGGUUACGUGCCUUCCCUCCCCACGGGAGCUCCACCUGUGGGUAGAGGACACCUUGGAAGUCUCCAGUCUCGCAGCUUUACAUGCCAUCUAAACCCUGACGACGUCCAGGUGUGUGUGUCCAGCUCGUCCUCUCCUUGAAUUCCAGACCUGGAGGUCCAGCUGCCUGAAUGGCACCUCCCAGUGGAUGUCCACACCGCCUCCCUGUCCCCUGCCAGGCCUGCUGCCCAGGCCCCUCUGCUGUGCUCACCUAGACCCGGACCUUGGAAUCCACUCUGCCCUUUCUCUCUCUCACAUCCCGUCUGUUGACAAAUCCUGCUGGAUGCACACAGUGGCGGCACCAGCCCGUUCUUGCUACCCCAUCACUGUGAAGCCACCUCUGUCCACUGCGUGGUCGUUACACUAGCCGUCUACGGUCUAGUCUCAACUGAGUGGUUUUACAAAUGGGAGUCCAUCACCUCCUCCCAGCGCCUUCCCAUUUCCUUCAGCAUGAAAACCAAAGAGCUCACGGUGGUCCACGCCCUCCCCUGCCUCGGUGUCCGGCUCCUCUCUGACCCUUCCCUCCCACUUGGCUCCAGGAUCAGUGAGCUUGGGCCUGUCCUCGGGGAGCCAGGUACACUCCCACGUCAGUCUCUGCUCUGAGGUUCUCUCUGCCCGCGACCUCUCCAGACACGCCUGCGGCUCACUCUCACCCUCCUUCAGGAUUGUCAUCCAACCCUCCCCGAUGAAGUAGCACCCACAUCCGUCUUGUCCUGCUGCCUGUCCUCAGGCUUGGGCACACCUGGCAGACCAGACGCGGAGCUAUACAGUCAUUGCUGCUCAUCGGCCGUCGCAGCACGUGGCUCCGAAGGGCAGGGCUGAGGGAUCCCCAGCAGCUACGACAGUCUGGCAGGCACAGGAGCCCAAUGCACUGUCUGCAGAAUAACUGAUGGAGUCAAGAAUAGAGGCGGCAGGGGAACGGAAACGAGGACACCGUGAACAAGCUAAGGCGUCAUCUUCCGUAGCAGAUCAAUCAGUAGAAACUGCCUUAAUUUGACAAAUAACAAAAAAAGAGUAGCGUCACAGAGGUGUAACACGAGCACAUGUGUUGGCGGGAUGCAAGGCAAGAGGUUUCCUUCCUCACUCCUAGGGGCUGGCAAAGCCACCACGGACCACCUUCUGGCCCUGCCUGGUGAGGUUCAGUACAGGCACACGCGUGAUGUGCACACAUAUGAUGUGCACAUGCAUGGUGUGUGUGUGCUGUGCACACACGUGAUCCAGCAAACCCACUCCUAGAGCCUCCCCCAGGUGCCUAAGGGACCCCUCAGAGGAGAUGCAUUUUGCAUGGGUUUUAGCAGCAGGGCGUUGCAGGCAACCUAGAAGCCCAUCACCAGGGGGUGAGGCAACGUGUGGUCGGGGCCAGUCGUCAGUGCCGACCGAGGUUUCCCACCUCCCAUUCCAGAGCUUUCUAACACGCCACGUCCUGAUCACUGCCUCAGUGUCCACACUUGACUUUAUGUGGCAAAUAUAGACUAAGCAUGUACUGUAUGCCGGGCAUCGUGCUGGGAGCCAGAGUGAUGAGCAAAAAGACUCGGUCCCUGUGGUCACAGGACUUACAACUUAGCAGAGAAGGCGACAGCACCAGCCAGUGGGAUCAAACCAUCUCCUGUCCACUUCCGGUCGGCAGCCCAGCCGAGAGCUGUUUUCUGGAGGGAGCCAGAGGCCCGUGCGCAUGUGAGAGCUCAGCCCAGACACAUCAAGAACAUUGUCAGUGCCAGCUUUGUGCCGGGAAGACUCUCCCUUAAGGCUCUCAUAUCUUGCUCCUGUUCUGAUGACAUGACCAGUCCCUCGAGGGGCAGGACGAGAGGCUGACAGCCACACGCAAACCCCAGCACGAGGCGGUCAGCCUGCGUGGUUCUCACACCUGCGUGCCCGCUUCCUUCAUCCCGAUUUCCCGUUGUCUGUGUUCCACUCGUGUCUUGCUGUGACAGGAGACAGGGAUUCUUUCUGAGAGAGAAGAUCUGAAUGACCUAUUCAGAGGGAAAUAAGCAGACGGCGACAUCCGGUCUUCGCUGAGCCAUCGCUUUCAUUUUAUUAAAGAUCACUUAAAGCCCCUGAAAGAACGGUGUUCAGGGAACAUCACAAAUUACCAGGAAAGACAGGUUCAUUUCAAUACAUCCAACUCUAUAGCCACAGAGAUUUGGAGAAUUUUGGACAGUUUCCACAUUUACCUUAGUAACAUUCAAGUACUCAGGUAUUGAUACUUAAAGAACAGAAAUCAAAGCAACCAAGAACACCCCCUCCCCCCCGCCCCAGCUAUGCUUCACUUUCCUAAUUUUGGAUACACUGUUUAGACCACGUUACAUAUUUUGCUUGACUCAGAUAGUUUGUUCUAUUUUGGGGCCUGUUCCCAUGGAAAGAAAAUUGGUGGAGGCAGGACCCCUUUAAAGCUGUCCUACUUACCUAGUGUUUUCCACGUCUCCCUUUUUCUGGUGUUACUUAAUAUCCUAUUAUUUUAAAAAAUUCAAGUUGGAGUUGGAACCAUUGUCACCAAUUUAGGUUGAGGCCCUUUGCACCUGUAGUCUCCAUAAAAAAAAAUCAAACACAAGUUUUACAAGCCGAGGGAAAAACAAGGCUUCACCCAGUGAAGACGUGUGGGAGGACUGCCGCUGAGCUGAAAGACGGCGCCCCGGAGUCUCGUCUGAAGGGAGAGCGCUGUCUGCGCAGCCAUCCCGCCUGCCUCACCUCUGGCGUCACAGCCUCUGCCAACUCCACUCGGGACGGUGCUGUGCCCUGCCCGCCCCAGGCCGCUCAGCCUUCACCUCCAUCUCCGUCAUCCUCCCCACCACCUGCGUAGCUUUCCGGACUGCAGAGUGGCUAGAGGGAAGCCCCAGGCCCGCGUCGUCCCGCGGCUCUGGCGGAAGCCUUCCACUCCCGUCCCUUCUCCGUGUGGGGACCGCAGCUACGCUCCGGAGUAAACUGAUUGGCCUCACGUGGCUUUACGAAACCUGGCCGGAAGCUGCAUGAAGAAUAUAAACCUUCUUAUCGUGACUAAGACCCCCCUGGACCCCGGUCCCCGAGGCCCCGCUGCCCUUGGCUCUGGGCUCCCUGACGGCUUCUCUGAGGGUGGCGGCCUCUUGGCCUCCGGGAUUUCCUUCCACCUGCAACAGUCUUCUCUCUCAAAAGGGAGCAUCGUUUUCUCAAACGGUCUACCAUGUCCACAAUUUACACCGGAUCUUUCCAUUGAACCCUCCAAGUGCCCUGUGCAUCUCCCUUAAACAAAUCCAGUGCUAAACUGUAUGUUUACACAAACUUUUCUGUCUUCCUAGACCUGCUGUGGGCUACACGGGACCACCGUGUCCCCAGUGCCCGACACUGAGUAGGAACUCUUAAAUUGUAUUUGUUGAAUAAACUGUGCAAGAAAUUGUCUUUUAUAUCCCAAUUCAAGUCGAAUAUGUGUCUUUUAGGGUUACAUGACUUCUUUGAGUAAAUUGGAUGAAUACUAGAAGGAGAAACCUGUCACUUUUUGCGCUGUCAUUUUUUUCCCUCUGCAAGUCAUUCCAUUUAACUUUUGCUGUGGCUUAAUGUUACCGUAAGCGUGGAAAUAAAU
rnacentral:lncRNA from 1 species